GAUGAACGCUAGCGAUAGGCCUAACACAUGCAAGUCGAGGGGCAUCACAUGAAGUAGCAAUACGGAUGGUGGCGACCGGCGCACGGGUGAGUAACACGUAUGCAACCUGCCUUCAACAAGGGGAUAACCCGUUGAAAGACGGACUAAUACCCUAUAACACAGGGGUCCCGCAUGGGAAUAUUUGUUAAAGGACAACCGGUUGAAGAUGGGCAUGCGUUCCAUUAGCUAGUUGGCGGGGUAACGGCCCACCAAGGCAACGAUGGAUAGGGGAACUGAGAGGUUUAUCCCCCACACUGGUACUGAGACACGGACCAGACUCCUACGGGAGCAGCAGUGAGGAAUAUUGGUCAAUGGACGCAAGUCUGAACCAGCCACGUCGCGUG
rnacentral:rRNA from 1 species